rnacentral:rRNA from 1 species
GACGAACGCUGGCGGCGUGCUUAACACAUGCAAGUCGAACGGAAAGGCCCUGCUUUUGUGGGGUGCUCGAGUGGCGAACGGGUGAGUAACACGUGAGUAACCUGCCCUUGACUUUGGGAUAACUUCAGGAAACUGGGGCUAAUACCGGAUAGGAGCUCCUGCUGCAUGGUGGGGGUUGGAAAGUUUCGGCGGUUGGGGAUGGACUCGCGGCUUAUCAGCUUGUUGGUGGGGUAGUGGCUUACCAAGGCUUUGACGGGUAGCCGGCCUGAGAGGGUGACCGGCCACAUUGGAACUGAGAUACGGCCCAGACUCCUACGGGAGGCAGGAGUGGGGAAUAUUGCACAAUGGGCGGAAGCCUGAUGCAGCAACGCCGCGUGCGGGAUGACGGCCUUCGGGUUGUAAACCGCUUUCGCCUGUGACGAAGCGUGAGUGACGGUAAUGGGUAAAGAAGCACCGGCUAACUACGU